GAUGAAGAACGCAGCGAAAUGCGAUACGUAAUGUGAAUUGCAGAAUUCAGUGAAUCAUCGAAUCUUUGAACGCAUAUUGCGCUCUCUGGUAUUCCGGAGAGCAUGCUUGUUUGAGUAUCAGUAAACACCUCAACUUCCAUAUCUUUUUUGAAAUGGGAGUUGGACUUGAGUGAUCCCAACGCUUUUCCUCACCGAAAAGUGGCGGGUUACUUGAAAUGCUGGUGCAGCUGGACUUUUCUCUGAGCUAUAAGCAUAUCUAUUUAGUCUGCCUAAAAAACAGAUUAUUACCUUUGCUGCAGCUAACAUAAAGGAGAUUAGUUCUUGUGCUGACUGAUGCAGGAUUCACAAAGACAGGCUUCGGCCGACUUUGUAAACUCGAUCUCAAAUCAAGUAAGACUACCCGCUGAACUUAAGCAUAUCAAUAAGCGGAGGA
rnacentral:misc_RNA from 1 species